GAUGAACGCUAGCUACAGGCUUAACACAUGCAAGUCGCAGGGUAACAUGAGGAAAGCUUGCUUUCCUUGAUGACGACUGGCGCACGGGUGAGUAACGCGUAUCCAACCUUCCCAUAACUACGGGAUAACCCGUUGAAAGACGGCCUAAUACCGUAUGAUAUCGUUUGCUGACAUCAAAUAACGAUUAAAGGUUUAGCGGUUAUGGAUGGGGAUGCGUCUGAUUAGCUUGUUGGCGGGGUAACGGCCCACCAAGGCGACGAUCAGUAGGGGUUCUGAGAGGAAGGUCCCCCACAUUGGAACUGAGACACGGUCCAAACUCCUACGGGAGGCAGCAGUGAGGAAUAGUGGUCAAUGGGCGAGAGCCUGAACCAGCCAAGUAGCGUGCAGGAUGACGGCCCUAUGGGUUGUAAACUGCUUUUAUGUGGGGAUAAAGUGCGUGACGUGUCAUGCAUUGCAGGUACCACAUGAAUAAGGACCGGCUAAUUCCGUG
rnacentral:rRNA from 1 species